AUUGAACGCUAGCGGCAGGCCUUACACAUGCAAGUCGAACGAGUGGCGGACGGGUGAGUAAUGUCUGGGAAACUGCCUGAUGGCGGGGGAUAACUACUGGAAACGGUAGCUAAUCCCGCAUACCAUCAGAAGUGCCCAGAUGGGAUUAGCUGGUUGGGGGGGUAACGGCUCACCAAGGCGACGAUCCCUAGCUGGUCUGAGAGGAUGACCAGCCACACGGGAACUGAGAUACGUUCCCGACUCCUACGGGAGGCAGCAGUGGGGAAGAUUGCACAAUGGGCGCAAGCCUGAUGCAGCCAUGCCGCGUGUAUGAGGAAGUCCUUCGGGUUGUAAAGUACUUUCAGCAGGGAGGCGUUACCCGCAGAAGAAGCACCGGCUAACUCCGUGCCAGCGGCCGCGGUAAUAC
rnacentral:rRNA from 1 species